rnacentral:rRNA from 1 species
UGGGGAAUAUUGGACAAUGGGCGCAGGCCUGAUCCAGCCAUGCCGCGUAAGUGAUGAAGGCCCUAGGGUUGUAAAGCUCUUUCACCGGUGAAGAUAAUGACGGUAACCGGAGAAGAAGCCCCGGCUAACUUCGUGCCAGCAGCCGCGGUAAUACGAAGGGGGCUAGCGUUGUUCGGAAUUACUGGGCGUAAAGCGCGCGUAGGCGGCUUUGUAAGUCAGAGGUGAAAGCCUGGAGCUCAACUCCAGAACUACCUUUGAGACUGCAUCGCUAGAAUCAUGGAGAGGUUAGUGGAAUUCCGAGUGUAGAGGUGAAAUUCGUAGAUAUUCGGAAGAACACCAGUGGCGAAGGCGACUAACUGGACAUGUAUUGACGCUGAGGUGCGAAAGCGUGGGGAGCAAA